ACGCCUUAUACAUGCAAGUCGAACGCAGUAGCAAUACUGAGUGGCAGACGGGUGAGUAUAAUGUGGGUAUCUGCCUUUUGGUUUGGAAUAACUCGGGGAAACUUGAGCUAAUACUGGAUAAGCCCUUACGGGGAAAGCUUUAUGCGCCAAAAGAUGAGCCCGCACUUGAUUAGCUUGUUGGUGAGGUAAUGGCUCACCAAGGCAACGAUCAAUAGCUGUUCUUAGAGGAAGACCAGCCACAUUGGGACUGAGACACGGCCCAGACUCCUACGGGAGGCAGCAGUAAGGAAUCUUGCACAAUGGGGGAAACCCUGAUGCAGCGAUGCCGCGUGAGUGAAGAAGGCCUUUGGGUUGUAAAACUCUUUCGUCGGGGAAGAAAAUGACUGUACCCGAAUAAGAAGGUCCGGCUAACUUCGUGCCAGCAGCCGCGGUAAUACGAAGGGACCUAGCGUAGUUCGGAAUUACUGGGCUUAAAGAGCUCGUAGGUGGUUAAAAAAGUUGGUGGUGAAAUCCCAAGGCUCAACCUUGGAACUGCCAUCAAAACUUUUUAGCUAGAGUAUGAUAGAGGAAAGUGGAAUUUCUAGUGUAGAGGUGAAAUUCGUAGAUAUUAGAAAGAACAUCAAAAGCGAAGGCAACUUUCUGGAUCAUUACUGACACUGAGGAGCGAAAGCAUGGGUAGCGAAGAGGAUUAGAUACCCUCGUAGUCCAUGCUGUAAACGAUGUGUGCUAGACGUUGGAAAUUUAAUUUUCAGUGUCGCAGCAAAAGCGUUAAGCACACCGCCUGGGGAGUACGACC
rnacentral:rRNA from 1 species